GAUACGGGACUCAUCCNAGGCCCCNUAAUCGGAAUGAGCACACUUUAAAUCCUUUAACGAGUAUCCAUUGGAGGGCAAGUCUGGUGCCAGCAGCCGCGGUAAUUCCAGCUCCAAUAGCGUAUAUUAAAGUUGUUGCGGUUAAAAAGCUCGUAGUUGGACUUGUGUCCCACGCUGUCGGUUCACCGCCCGUCGGUGUCUAACUGGCAUGGUUCGUGGGACGUCCUGCCGGUGGUGGCGAGUCGAAGGAGCGCUCCCGUCGUGGUUCACGCCGCGAUCGAGGUUGCGGUCCGGAGACGGACCCCGAUGAAAUCCUACCGCGGUGCUCUUCACCGAGUGUCGAGGUGGGCCGGCACGUUUACUUUGAACAAAUUAGAGUGCUUAAAGCAGGCCUGUUGCGCCUGAAUACUGUGUGCAUGGAAUAAUGGAAUAGGACCUCGGUUCUAUUUUGUUGGUUUUCGGAACCCGAGGUAAUGAUUAAUAGGGACAGUCGGGGGCAUUCGUAUUGCGACGUUAGAGGUGAAAUUCUUGGAUCGUCGCAAGACGGACCGAAGCGAAAGCAUUUGCCAAGUAUGUUUUCAUUAAUCAAGAACGAAAGUUAGAGGUUCGAAGGCGAUCAGAUACCGCCCUAGUUCUAACCAUAAACGAUGCCAGCUAGCGAUCCGCCGAAGUUCCUCCGAUGACUCGGCGGGCAGCUCCCGGGAAACCAAAGCUUUUGGGUUCCGGGGGAAGUAUGGUUGCAAAGCUGAAACUUAAAGGAAUUGACGGAAGGGCACCACCAGGAGUGGAGCCUGCGGCUUAAUUUGACUCAACACGGGAAACCUCACCAGGCCCGGACAC
rnacentral:rRNA from 2 species